GUGUGUGUGAGUGCUGGAUGAUGUGUGUGUGUGUGUGUGAGUGCUGGAUGAUGUGUGUGUGAGUGCUGGAUAAUGUGUGUGUGAGUGCUGGAUGAUGUGUGUGUGAGUGCUGGAUGAUGUGUGUGUGUGUGCUGGAUGAUGUGUGUGUGAGUGCUGGAUGAUGUGUGUGUGUGUGUGUGAGUGCUGGAUGAUGUGUGUGUGUGUGUGUGAGUGCUGGAUGAUGUGUGUGUGAGUG